GGAAGAAGGUCGCAUGGCACGGUGCACGGAGAUUGAUGAUGGUCUGCAUGUCUGCUCGCUAAGAUGCCUUUGGGCUAUGAUCCGUCGGGCCUGGAUUUGACCCAUAUUU